rnacentral:lncRNA from 1 species
AUUGAUUAACCACUUUCUCUAUCACCUUUAUCAUAGAAAAUACCCCUGAUAUGUUCAAACCCAAUACCCAUAUCUAUUGCAUUGUGCUCAUGAAUUGACAUAUACUGAACAUUUGUAUUUCACAUGAAUCCAAAAUCAUGCCAAUUGGCACCCACUCAGUGCACAUACUACUUUUUCUUGACUUAUGCCACCUUGACGUGCUAGACAGACUCCGCUUUGUGUAAUUAGAAAGCUGAUAGCAGAUUUUGAAAUCAUUUCUUAAUUGUUCUGACAAAAUAGACUCGAGAGGACUUAUACAAAGCAAGAAGAACGGAGUUAAGGGGACAAUAAAAGAGAUGACAUCUAACAAGAAAAUCACCAAGCAGAAACUUAUCAAAUAUGGAUACCAACUCUAAUGACCGUGACAUGCAUUUUGUAUUAAGUGGCCUAAUCGGUCAAGCAAGUCUAAUGUUCAUCUCUUUUUGUAUCUCUAAGCCAUGAAAAUGUC